rnacentral:rRNA from 1 species
AUCGAACGCUGGCGGCAGGCUUAACACAUGCAAGUCGAACGAGUGGCGGACGGGUGAGCAAUGUCUGGGAAACUGCCUGAUGGAGGGGGAUAACUACUGGAAACGGUAGCUAAUACCGCAUACCAUCAGAUUUGCCCAGAUGGGAUUAGCUAGUUGGUGGGGUAACGGCUGACCAAUGCGACGAUCCCUAGCUGGUCUGAAAAGAUGACCAACCACACUGGGACUGAGGCACGGCCCAAACUCCUACGGGAGGCAGCAGUGGGGAAUAUUGCACAAUGGGCGCAAGCCUGAUACAGCCAUGCCGCGUGUAUGAAGAAGGCCUUCGGGUUGUAGAGUACUUUCAGCAGGGAGGCGUUACCCGCAGAAGAAGCACCGGCUAACUCCGUGCCAGCAGCCGCGGUAAUUC